rnacentral:lncRNA from 1 species
GAAAAAAUGAUCACUAGGCCAACUGCAUUGCUCAACUGGCCGCCAGUUGAGCUAACAAUUGAGGGACAGUUGAGGGCUAGCUGGCCAUCAGUUGAGCAAAUAGUUGAGGGCUAGCUGGAUUUUUGCCAUGCAAAUUAGGUAGCCCUCAACUAUCAAUGCUCAACUUUAUGCAAAUUAGUUGAGCAACAUUGAGAAAAUAUCAUAGUUGAGGGCUAGGUGUCCAACAGUUGAGCAAUUAGAGUUGAGGGC